AUGAGCACUGGUCCCGCAGAACUGGCUGAAAUUGUUGUAGAGAAGGCCACAGACAUAAAGACCACUGUCUCUAAUUACCUAACCAGUCUGUUUGCAGUGGAUGAAGGUGGUAUUCCUGACAUUAGCUUUGAUCCCAUGAAAGUUGUCACAGACACUGUUGAGGAGUUUGCUGACAGGAGGGAUAUGUUCUUGGCCUAUCUCUCCAACAUGGAAGACAAAGAUGACACACCGCAAGUGAUAAGACGGAAAGGAGAAUUUCUGCCCCCUAUGGAAAAAGUUCUUGAACAAGUGAAAGAAGCCAAAGAGAAAAAAGCUAGAGAGGAGAUAUACAAAAUCAUUCAAGAUAUGAGGGAAAAGAAGGCUGAAAGUAAAGAGGAAGAGAUAACACUGCAACGAAUAAACAUAACAGUAGAAAAAGUCAAGAAGAAAAAGGAGAUAGAAAAGGCUAAAAGAAAAGAAAAAUCCAAAGAGGACAAGACUCGAGAACCAACAGAAAAGGACACCAAGAAAAAAACUGAGAAAAAGGUCAAGGUGACUAAAGUGGGCGAGGAACCCCCUCUAAAAAAGAAGAAAUCUGAAGCUAAAAUGGACAAAAAAGAGACCAAACUAGCACCAUCUAAGAAAGAGCCUCGAGUUACAAAAGAAAAGGCUAAACCAGCUCGUUCAAAGAAAGAAGCUGAAGUUGCUGUUAAAAAACUAAAACAUGCUCCUGCAAAGAAAGAGCCUGAGGUUUCCAAAGAAAAAGCCAAGCCAAAACGUUUAAAGAAAGAGGCUAAAUCUGUUGAAGAGAAGGCAAAACCAGCACCAGCUAAAAAAGAGAAGGAGAAACCUCCAAAGAAAGCUGUAAAAGAAAAGCCCAAACCUGCUUCUGUAAAGAAAGAACCUAAAUUUCCAAGAGAGAAAGCAAAACCUAAACCUUUCAAAAAAGAGGCAGAAGUUGCCAAAUACAAGCAUAAACCUGUCACUGUGAAGAAAGAACCUGCUGUUGCAGUUGAAAAGGCAAAACCGAAACCUGCACCAAAGAAAGUUACCAAAGAGAAAGCUAAACCAGAACCUGCAAAGAAAGAACCUGAGAUAACCAAAGAAAAACCGAGAGCACCAAAGAGAAAGGCUAAAGUUAUUAAGGAGGAAGCUAAACCAGCUCCUGCAAAGAAAGUCAUCAAAGAUGUUAAACCAGCCCUUAAGAGAAGAGAGGCUAAAGUAAUCAAGAAGAAAGUUAAACCGACUCCUGUAAAGAAAGAGCUUGAAGUUGCUAAAGAAAAGGCACCUAAAUCAGCACCAAGAAUAGAAAAGCCAAAGCCAGCACCAAAGAUAGUGGCUAAAGUCAUCAAGGAGAAACCUAAACCAGUUCCUGAGAAGAAAGAAGCUGUAAUCAUCAAAAAGAAAGUUAAACUGGCUCCAGUAAAGAAAGCACCUGAGAUAAUCAAAGAAAAGCCAAAGCCAGCACCAAAGAAAGAGGCUGAAGUCAUCAAAGAGAAAGCUAAAGCAACUCCUGAAAAGAAAGAGACCGAAGUCAUCAAGGAGAAAGUUAAACCAGCCCCUGUAAAGAAAGUUAAAGUUCCAAAGGAAAAGACAAAACUUGUCCUUGAAGCAAAGGAACCCAAAAUAACUAAGGAAAAGCCAAAGCCAGCACCAAAGAAAGAAGCUUUAGUCAUCAAAGAGAAAGCUAAACCAGCCCCUGUGAAGAAAGAGUCUGAAAUUAUUAAGGAAGAAAGAAAGAAAGCUAAACCAGCUCCUAAGAAGAAAGUGGCUGAAGUCGCCAAGGAGAAAGCUAAGCAAGCUCCGGUGAAGAAAGAGCCUGAAGUCACUAAAGAAAAGUUAUUAGAACCAACUCCAAAAAAAGAGCUCCUGAACUCUAUCAGCCAAAAACUGUCUCUUCUGGAUUUACUGAGGAAGGACAUUGGUGAAAUGAAGAGUGAUCUGGAGUCCACUCAAAAUCAAAUUACGCUUUUACGAAUGGACAACAAAACAAUCAAAGAGCCGAAGACUGUUGGUGUAAAGGUAAAACCAGCAGUCUCCAAGGAAAAGGUCAAAACAGCAAAAAAAGACCAUGAUGCUCUGAUGAACGUUACAGCACAUAUUAAAGCAGAAGCUGAAAUCAUCAAAAAGAUAAAAGAUAAAGUUAAACUGGCUCCUUUAAAGAAAGAACGUGAUGCACUGAAAAACAUCACUAAACCAGCACCUGCAAAGAAAGAUAAAGAGGCUCCAAAAGCUAAGAUCAGACCAGAGCCCAAAAAGAAAGAAAUCACCCAUGAGAAGGUCAAACAAGUAAAGGAACCUUUACAGAAAGUCGAGCCAACUAAGAAGGAGGCUGUUGUGGGCAAGGAAGUAAAAGGAGAAGAACCUGAUGUCUCCAAAGAUAUUCCAGAGAUGGAGGAUGAGGAUGUUCCCUACUUCCAGUGUUUCUUUGUGGAUGAGGAUGAUACUCAGUAUCCAUUCUUCCCCUUUUCACCACCGCUGUGGUGA
ensembl:lncRNA